rnacentral:rRNA from 1 species
GAUGAACGCUGGCGGCGUGCUUAACACAUGCAAGUCGAACGAAGCACUCAGAUCUCUUCGGAGUGAUGAGUGACUGAGUGGCGGACGGGUGAGUAACGCGUGGGUAACCUGCCUUGUACAGGGGGGCAACAGUUGGAAACGACUGCUAAUACCGCAUAAGCGCACAGCUUCGCAUGAAGCAGUGGGAAAAGCUGAGGCGGUACAAGAUGGACCCGCGUUGGAUUAGCUAGUUGGUGGGGUAACGGCCUACCAAGGCGACGAUCCAUAGCCGACCUGAGAGGGUGAUCGGCCACAUUGGGACUGAGACACGGCCCAAACUCCUACGGGAGGCAGCAGUGGGGAAUAUUGCACAAUGGGCGAAAGCCUGAUGCAGCGACGCCGCGUGAGCGAUGAAGUAUUUCGGUAUGUAAAGCUCUAUCAGCAGGGAAGAAAAUGACGGUACCUGACUAAGAAGCUCCGGCUAAAUACGUGCCAGCCGCCGCGGUAACAC